rnacentral:rRNA from 1 species
UACGUAGGGUGCAAGCGUUGUCCGGAAUUAUUGGGCGUAAAGAGCUCGUAGGCGGUUCGUCGCGUCGGCUGUGAAAACCUGAGGCUCAACCUCAGGCCUGCAGUCGAUACGGGCGGACUUGAGUACUGCAGGGGAGACUGGAAUUCCUGGUGAUAGCGGUGAAAUGCGCAGAUAUCAGGAGGAACACCGGUGGCGAAGGCGGGUCUCUGGGCAGUAACUGACGCUGGAGGAGCGAAAGCGUGGGGAGCGAACAGG